GUCGAUGGCCAUGCCACCCUGAACAAGCCCGAUCUCAUCUGAUCUCAGAAGCUAAGCAGGGUCAGGCCUGGUUAGAACUUGGAUAGGAGACCACCUAGGAAUACCAGGUGCUGUAGGUG
rnacentral:rRNA from 1 species